rnacentral:snoRNA from 1 species
UUGCACUCUUUGUAGCUGCAGGGCCGAGCAGCAGUGCUCGAGCAUAAGGGCUUGUUAUAACCGGGCUCUUCAGCCCUCAACCGAACUGCUCAGUUAAAAACAAGGUACAUUU